CGGAAGCGCGGUGGGCUGCACAAAAAGUAGCUCAAAAGCAAAAACCUUUCAGGCGUAUACAAAUUCUGAGGGAUCAGUACAUCUUUACUGCCUGCAGUACCAGCCUUGAUCUUCUUAUCUGCCCGCUGACUGAAGGACCUUAAUAUCUACAAUAGCAGUCAAUACUACAAUAACUUUGAGGUUUGAGUUUUCUCCUGUUAUUGCAUAAGGAAAAACUUCCUUCUUGGAGGCUGUUGAAGAACUAGGACAUAUUGUGCACUUCAACCUGAAAAAGAGAGGUAUGCCUGCAGUGCAAAUCCAAGGAAUGACUGCUGUUCGUGGAAGUAUCCAUCUCACAGAUGGGCUCCAGCCACUGAUCAGAAGCCAGUGGAGCUGUAGAUGUGGAUUGUAAAGAAGUCUGUUCAUAUUUUACAAACAGAAGGAUGCAGCUUUCUCCCUGUGUAUUUGUAGCUUAGAAAGAAUGAGCCAACCCCAGC
rnacentral:lncRNA from 1 species